rnacentral:rRNA from 1 species
UCUGCGGCCUAUCAGGUAGUAGUGAGUGUAAAGGACUCACUAGCCGACAACGGGUACGGGCCAUGGGAGUGGUAGCCCGGAGAUGGAUUCUGAGACACGAAUCCAGGCCCUACGGGGCGCAGCAGGCGCGAAAACUUCGCAAUGCGCGAAAGCGCGACGAGGGGAUUCCAAGUGCAUGCACUUAGUGCAUGCUGUUUGCUAGUCCAAAUAGCUAGUAGAGUAAGGGCUGGGUAAGACUGGUGCCAGCCGCCGCGGUAAUACCAGCGGCCCGAGUGGUGAUCGUUAUUAUUGGGUCUAAAGCGUCCGUAGCCGGCCCGGUAAAUCUCUGGGUAAAUCGUUGGGCUCAACCCAGCGAAUUCUAGGGAGACUGCCGGGCUUGGGACCGUGAGAGGUCGGAGGUACUCCGAGGGUAGGGGUGAAAUCCUGUAAUCCCUGGGGGACCACCGGUGGCGAAGGCGUCCGACCAGAACGGGUCCGACGGUAAGGGACGAAGCCCUGGGGCGCGAACCGGAUUAGAUACCCGGGUAGUCCAGGGUGUAAACGCUGUGCGCUUGGUGUUGGGGGUCCUUUGAGGGCAUCCAGUGCCGGAGAGAAGUUGUUAAGCGCACCACCUGGGGAGUACGGUCGCAAGACUGAAACU